CUGCAAUGAUGACAUUUAGGACACCUUUGUACUAACCAUGAAAAAAACAAGAUCAAAGUCUGAGCAAC
ensembl:snoRNA SNORD58 Small nucleolar RNA SNORD58